AUGUGACUGUGGAACCCUUUUCUCCAGGUAUUUUUUUUCUUUCUUCUUUUCUUGGCAUCUUUCUUUCAAUUUUUUCCCCCUUUUUUUCAAAAAUAUAAAUAAAUAAAUGCUUUUUUGGUCUUUAUAUCUUUAUUAUGUUCGUCUGAAAUUCCCAAUGUUCCCAACUUUACGAGUUUUGAUGUUUCACAGUUAUUCAUCAUUUUGGACUGAUAUUGGAAGUCACAGCAAAUAUUGGUCUUUUGUUUAAAGUGGGAAGUCUCAUGUCUAUCUAAUGGUGUUUGUAUUUUGUUUCAAUCGGCUUUGUUUUUGUACAAGAGUGGGUAAGCUCUGCAUGGAAUAUAUCUGAUGCUUAAAUUUAUUGGCAGGUUGCAUAGAAGUGGACACCAUUAAUACUAGUGUCUGUUACUGAUGACAUUACAAGAGUAACUGAAAGCAAUAUCACUGAAAAUCUGAACCUGCCAAUAAGUUCAUAUUUGAAAAGAACAAAAAGAAAUAAAAACAUAUAUAUAAUCUUUUGUUUUAUGUAUGCUUUCUCUUUAAUCCAAGAGCAUUACUUUUCUCCUGUGUCCUUUGCAUUGAAUGCCUGCGUAAGCACUGAUUCAGAUUUUUCUUUUUUUUUUUCCAAAGGAUUCAGAUUUUUCUUGAUUGGGGAUUCUGUGAAAUUAACAUAUAUACGAAAUCUUUCAUUUCAUGUUUUAAAUUGUUACAAAGAAGUUCGCUGCACUGGAGGGUGUUUCUCUUGAACUGUUCUUGCUUUUUUCCAGUGUGUUUACCUUUUUUGGUACUUUGUAAUGGAGUGACUGCAGUCUCAAAAACAAUGAUGAAUAUUUCUGCUUCUCCAAGAAAAAGUGAAUGGGAAAAAGAUCUUAAUUGCUGUUUGGUUUCAAUAUUUUAUGGCUGAGAAAACCCGUGAUAAUAUUUUCAUGAAGCAUGCCAUGAUUUAGCUGCAGAACAUACUGAGGCUCUGACCCUUGAUCAUGAUGAUGAGAACUGAUAAAUCUGCAAAAAUAUCUGUUAUUCUGAUUUGCUUUCAUUUUCCUUCAUCUAUAAUAAGAUAUAUACUUGUGGUUUCAAUUUGCACAUCUAGGUUAAAUGCGCGAGCACAAGUUUCAAAAGGCUUGCAAUUUCUUGAAAUUUUGAGCUGACCAUCCAUAUGCCUAUUUCUCAUGCGGCUGCCUUGCAUCUCUCUCUCUCUCUCUACUUCAGUUUUGACUAAAACAGAUAGUUCUACUUUUGCAUUAUCUAGCUUUAUUUCAAUCAUGUAUCCAUCCAAUCAGCAUGCAAGACGCCCUACUAGUGUCUCGAACUUCUCAUCUCUAUUAGCUUUAUCAAGAAGAGAACAAAUUAUAGCGUAGUCAUUUCACUUAAUUUGCUUAAUUAACCACAUACUCUAUUCAUUUAUCUCUUCAUUAGUCAAGAUUUCUUUUCUUUUCUAUUCUUUUUUCUCUUAUCCUACCAAUUUUAUAAUAAUCUAUCCCAUGUUCUUAGCUAGUUCAUACCAUGCAGAUUCCAUAAAUUAAUAGAAUCAUUCAAAUGCUAUAUACACCCCAUUAAUUAGUACUUUAUCAAGUAAUCCCAUCAUUCUCCGUUGCUUGUUCAUUCCUGGCUCAGCAUUUUCAAACUAAACUAACAUUUUCUCUUUACGUGUGCUUGGAUUUUGAAACCACAGGAAGGAUAGCUUCAUAACCCACAGGGCAUUCUGUGAUGCAUUAGCAGAAGAAAGUGCAAGGCUCUCAGCUCACCAAUUAGUUUCCACAAAUCCUACAGCCCAAUCUCUUCUUCUACAAAACCCACAACCCCACCCUUCUUUCUUCCCCCUCACUACCCACCACCAUCAUCACCUUUCCCUCAACCCUUGGGACCCACCUCCUCAAAACCCUAGCAACCCUCAAAACCCAGUUCAUAUCAAGCCUGAAACUCACCAUUUCCAGCUUCCACCGCUCUUCCAAGAACCGCCACCAUCCUUGCCAACCCAUAAGGGUUUGAUAGCCUCAUCC
rnacentral:misc_RNA from 1 species